rnacentral:rRNA from 1 species
UACGAAGGGGGCUAGCGUUGUUCGGAAUCACUGGGCUUAAAGAGUCCGUAGGCGGCUUGUUAGGUGAGGUGUGAAAUCCCCCGGCUCAACCGAGGAAUUGCGCUUCAAACCGGCAAGCUUGAGGAGGAUAGAGGUGGGCGGAACUGAUGGUGGAGCGGUGAAAUGCGUUGAUAUCAUCAGGAACACCGGAGGCGAAAGCGGUCCACUGGGUCCUUUCUGACGCUGAGGGACGAAAGCUAGGGGAGCGAACGGG